rnacentral:rRNA from 1 species
AGUGAACGCUGGCGGUAGGCCUAACACAUGCAAGUCGAACGGCAGCACAGUAAGGGCUUGCUCUUACGGGUGGCGAGUGGCGGACGGGUGAGGAAUACAUCGGAAUCUACUUUUUCGUGGGGGAUAACGUAGGGAAACUUACGCUAAUACCGCAUACGACCUACGGGUGAAAGCAGGGGAUCUUCGGACCUUGCGCGAUUGAAUGAGCCGAUGUCGGAUUAGCUAGUUGGCGGGGUAAAGGCCCACCAAGGCGACGAUCCGUAGCUGGUCUGAGAGGAUGAUCAGCCACACUGGAACUGAGACACGGUCCAGACUCCUACGGGAGGCAGCAGUGGGGAAUAUUGGACAAUGGGCGCAAGCCUGAUCCAGCCAUACUGCGUGGGUGAAGAAGGCCUUCGGGUUGUAAAGCCCUUUUGUUGGGAAAGAAAAGCAGCAGGUUAAUACCCCGCUGUUCUGACGGUACCCAAAGAAUAAGCACCGGCUAACUUCGUG